rnacentral:rRNA from 1 species
GAGCGGCGGACGGGUGAGUAACGCGUGGGUAACCUGCCCUGUACACACGGAUAACAUACCGAAAGGUAUACUAAUACGGGAUAACAUACGAAAGUCGCAUGGCUUUUGUAUCAAAGCUCCGGCGGUACAGGAUGGACCCGCGUCUGAUUAGCUAGUUGGUAAGGUAAUGGCUUACCAAGGCAACGAUCAGUAGCCGACCUGAGAGGGUGAUCGGCCACACUGGAACUGAGACACGGUCCAGACUCCUACGGGAGGCAGCAGUGGGGAAUAUUGCACAAUGGGCGAAAGCCUGAUGCAGCAACGCCGCGUGAGCGAUGAAGGCCUUCGGGUCGUAAAGCUCUGUCCUCAAGGAAGAUAAUGACGGUACUUGAGGAGGAAGCCCCGGCUAACUACGUGCCAGCAGCCGCGGUAAUACGUAGGGGGCUAGCGUUAUCCGGAAUUACUGGGCGUAAAGGGUGCGUAGGUGGUUUUUUAAGUCAGAAGUGAAAGGCUACGGCUCAACCGUAGUAAGCUUUUGAAACUAGAGAACUUGAGUGCAGGAGAGGAGAGUAGAAUUCCUAGUGUAGCGGUGAAAUGCGUAGAUAUUAGGAGGAAUACCAGUAGCGAAGGCGGCUCUCUGGACUGUAACUGACACUGAGGCACGAAAGCGUGGGGAGCAAACAGGAUUAGAUACCUGGUAGUCCACGCCGUAAACGAUGAGUACUAGGUGUCGGGGGUUACCCCCCUCGGUGCCGCAGCUAACGCAUUAAGUACUCCGCCUGGGAAGUACGCUCGCAAGAGUGAAACUCAAAGGAAUUGACGGGGACCCGCACAAGUAGCGGAGCAUGUGGUUUAAUUCGAAGCAACGCGAAGAACCUUACCUAAGCUUGACAUCCCACUGACCUCUCCCUAAUCGGAGAUUUCCCUUCGGGGACAGUGGUGACAGGUGGUGCAUGGUUGUCGUCAGCUCGUGUCGUGAGAUGUUGGGUUAAGUCCCGCAACGAGCGCAACCCUUGCCUUUAGUUGCCAGCAUUAAGUUGGGCACUCUAGAGGGACUGCCGAGGAUAACUCGGAGGAAGGUGGGGAUGACGUCAAAUCAUCAUGCCCCUUAUGCUUAGGGCUACACACGUGCUACAAUGGGUGGUACAGAGGGUUGCCAAGCCGCGAGGUGGAGCUAAUCCCUUAAAGCCAUUCUCAGUUCGGAUUGUAGGCUGAAACUCGUCUACAUGAAGCUGGAGUUACUAGUAAUCGCAGAUCAGAAUGCUGCGGUGAAUGCGUUCCCGGGUCUUGUACACACCGCCCGUCACACCAUGGAAGUUGGGGGCGCCCGAAGCCGGUUAGCUAACC